UACGAAGGGUGCAAGCGUUACUCGGAAUUACUGGGCGUAAAGCGUGCGUAGGCGGUUUGUUAAGUCCGUUGUGAAAGCCCUGGGCUCAACCUGGAGCGGCCACUCGAUACUGCCAUGGCUUGAGUCCGGUAGGGGACCACGGAAUUCCUGGUGUAGCGGUGAAAUGCGCAGAUAUCAGGAGGAACACCAGUGGCGAAGGCGGUGGUCUGGGCCGGAACUGACGCUGAGGAGCGAAAGCGUGGGUAGCAAACAGG
rnacentral:rRNA from 1 species